AUACGGAGGAUGCGAGCGUUAUCCGGAUUUAUUGGGUUUAAAGGGAGCGUAGGUGGGAUAUUAAGUCAGCUGUGAAAGUUUGGGGCUCAACCUUAAAAUUGCAGUUGAUACUGGUUUCCUUGAGUACGGUACAGGUGGGCGGAAUUCGUGGUGUAGCGGUGAAAUGCUUAGAUAUCACGAAGAACUCCGAUAGCGAAGGCAGCUCACCGGGCCGGAACUGACACUGAUGCUCGAAAGUGCGGGUAUCAAACAGGAUUAGAUACCCUGGUAGUCCGCACAGUAAACGAUGAAUACUCGCUGUUUGCGAUACACGGUAAGCGGCCAAGCGAAAGCGUUAAGUAUUCCACCUGGGGAGUACGCCGGCAACGGUGAAACUCAAAUGAAUUGACGGGG
rnacentral:rRNA from 1 species